GAAUAUAUCAUCAUUAUCAUAACAUCAUUGGGGCAAUAAUAAUAUUAAAACAAUAGCAAAGCUUUUAUUAUGUAGUGCAUACUAAGUGCCCGCCAUUGUUUUAAGUGCUUUUACAUGUAUUAACUUAUUCUACUCUACGAGGUAAACAGUUUUAGCAUUCCAUUUCACAGAUGAGGAAACUGAGGACUAACGAAGUUUAUGAAUAAGCCCCAAAUCAUCUAACAAUUUUACAGAUGCCAAAACCACCAGUAAAUGGAAGAAAUUAACUACUUGAUGAUCAUAAGUAGCCCCUAGACCUUCUGGCACCUAAGGAUUGAUCACCAUCAACCAAUCAGAGAAUUGUACACGAGUACUGUGAUGUACCUUUAUGGAUAAACAAUGACUCAUCAAACUGAGUUGCCUGCCUCAGAACUCCAGCUGUACGGCUUGUGGGCAGGACUUGAACCAGACCUACUAGAGGCUAUCACCCCAAACUGUAUAAUUACCGCAAGUUAAGAGGAAAGAAAAAUGAAUCUCAAAGAUAUCAAAUAACAGACCUAUACUACGAUCUCACAGCUGACAAGAAUCCAACCUAAGAGUCAAACCCUCCAAAUGCUGGGCCUGUUUUUCACAGCAUUUUUUCUCCUUUCAAAGAAUAAGAACAAAGUCACACUGCAUUAGUGACCACAUCUGGCUCUAAGACACUUCCUUUCUGUCAGCAUCAGAAUGAAGAGAGGCAGACGCUAGUGAAGGUCAUCAAUCAUCUGGAAGAAACCCUGAAUGGGGCCCAUUAGCCAUAAAAACAAGAUGUUUUGGGACACCUUUCAGAAAUUCUCUUUCAGUGACCUUCACAAUACAAUGACGACCUUGUCUCUGUUAUCAAAGGACUGUCAGCAAGCACUUAAGGAACUCACCUGCCUGCUAAAAUGCCACACAGACCAAUGGAAAAUUUCCCUCAAUCAGGAGCAGAAUGUCAGGGGCUCCUCCUGAUUCCACAAGAUCGGGAGACAGCCUAGCACAGCUCGGGGGCCGCUGCCUGUCCGUCUGACCUUUGUCAGCAUCGACGUGACCAGCCAUGGUAAGAAUUUAACAAGGAAACCACUAAGGUCCUUCCCCUCUCCAUUGCCUUUGAGAAUACUUAACAUUUUCACUUUCAGCUACAAAAGCAAACCUUUAUUUUAAGGGCAAGUCAUUUCUCCAUAGGAGACUCAGAGAAAGUUGAAAGCCUUCAGUCAACUAAACAAUGUUGGAAUCAACCAUUAUCGGAUAUUAUCCCAUAUGCUUUAUAUAAAUUAUUGCAUUUAAGCCUAUGGAAAAGCACAGGUGAGGAUCCUGGGUUUCUGCGCAUGUAAAUAGUUUAAAAGGCUUGUCCUAGCAUCAGCUGCUAGCUGGGGGUGAGCUCUCUUUCUAUGGUACCAAGUUCCAUCCCAGAAAACCUCCUACAGAGAGUUUAAGGACAAAACACAGACAGGUAGGCAGGAAGUGUCAGGGAACCUGAUGUAACCUAGCAGGACCCUAUGAGGUCUUCCCAGAAAACACCCCCACCCAUGUCCUCCGCCUGCCUUUUGCCUGCAGAAAAACUUUAGUCAAAGAAUAAACUUAGUAAGAGAAAUGAGAAAAUGCAAAAAGAAAGUAAAACAGUCGAGCAAGACAAAAUAAUAAUACUUUAGCCACUAAACAAAGUCAGGACCUUUAGUUCCUCCUCAAGGGCUACAGAUAAUAUUCUGAGCCAUGUCCUUUGAGCUGUUUUGCAGAUGCUGAACCCCCACUCCCCACCCCCGAGGUGGGAGAAGUGAACUGUGUGCUGCCCACGAGCACGCAGACCCCAGACCAGUUGGAACCAGAACGUUAAUGGCGUUGACUCCUGAUGACCUCACCACCAACCAAUCAGAAGAAUGUCCACGAGCUGCUCACACACCCCACAAUUGCCCUCCCUCACCCUGUCUUUAUAAACCUUUCCCUGAAAGCUUUCAGGGAGUUCAGGUCUUUUAAGCACCAGCUGCCCUGGCCUCCUUCCUUGGCGCCCUGCAAUAAAGCUAUUCUUUUCCACUUCACCCAAAACUCUUGAGAUUCAAAUUGAUGCCAAUGUACAGAGGCCGGGUUUCGGCAACACUGAGAAGUGUAGGAUAUCCCAUUCAGCCCCUAAGGAAGUGCAGUCCUACACCCACACCCGCCUCCGCUGUCCUCUUCCCCUUUCUAAAACCACCAUAGACACAGGUCUGGUGAGUUGCGAGGCAGACGGGCAGGGGCCUCAGCAUCGGUGCCCUCAUUCAGCCAACAGCAAGCUGGUGACUCCAAGCAACUGCUUACCCUCUCUGGGCCUCAAUUUACACAUCCAUAAAGGGGGGGCUUUGAACAAGAUAUCUGCCAGACUCCAUAGUUCUAAUACCCUCUGAGUUUAUCAUCCUCAGAUGGUUAUAACAACACUAUAGGUUGACAUAAAAUAUUAAAUUGCCUUAUUCAAUAAUUAAUGAAUGGAAAUGAAUUAGCGGUGAUGUGUUAUUUUCUCAAUAACCUUUGAGCCAAUUCACUGAGAAUUAGAGAAGUGUCAAACUCAGAAUACAGACUUUUACACCACAAAUUGUUCCUGCUUUGGGGAGGGCAAAGGUAAAUAUCAACUAAUACUUUUAUCAUGUUCUACAGUUUAUAUAAUCCACAUAUAUUCUGUUAUUAAAUCUCCACCAGUCUUUGAAAUAGACAUUAAUGUUCCCAGUUAACAUUAUUAAGACCCAGAAAGUAUAAAUGAGUUUGCCCAGAGGGGACAGGGCUAGUAGGUGGCAAAGCCAGGACCAAAAUCCUUGCCUUGCCAUUCCAAAUCUCAUGUUCUUUACACAUGCACACAUUUUCUUUAGAGUAACAGUCAGUAGAAUCCAUUUUCACCCAAUGAAUUAAAAUUCAACAUGUACCCUCAAAGACAUCACUAGAUCUAUUCGGAAUAUGACAUUUCUGAAUAGUCUGAAGUUAAUUAUUUGUUAUGCGUCCCUAAAGUUCCAGCUUUUCAUUUUAUAAAAGCAAACAUGAGGGCUUCCCUGGUGGCGCAGUGGUUGAGAAUCUGCCUGCCAAUGCAGGGGACACGGGUUCAAUCCGUGGUCUGGGAAGAUCCCACAUGCCGCGGAGCAACUAGGCCCGUGAGCCACAACUACUGAGCCUGCGCGUCUGGAGCCUGAGCUCUGCAAGAGAGGCCGUGAUAGUGAGAGGCCCGCGCACCGUGAUGAAGAGUGACCCCCGCUUGCCGCAACUGGAGAAAGCCCUCACACAGAAAUGAAGACCCAACACAGCCAAAAAUAAAUAAAAUAAAUUAAUUGAAAAUCACAGCCGAAUUAAAAAA